GAUGAACGCUAGCGAUAGGCUUAACACAUGCAAGUCGAGGGGCAGCAUGGUCUUAGCUUGCUAAGACUGAUGGCGACCGGCGCACGGGUGCGUAACGCGUAUGCAACUUGCCUCACAGAGGGGGAUAACCCGUCGAAAGACGGACUAAUACCGCGUACACUUGGGAUAGGGCAUCCUGACCCAAGGAAAUGAAAUUCGCUGUGAGAUAGGCAUGCGUCCCAUUAGCUAGUUGGUGAGGUAACGGCUCACCAAGGCGACGAUGGGUAGGGGAACUGAGAGGUUGAACCCCCACACUGGUACUGAGACACGGACCAGACUCCUACGGGAGGCAGCAGUGAGGAAUAUUGGUCAAUGGGCGAGAGCCUGAACCAGCCAAGUCGCGUGAAGGAUGACUGUCUUAUGGAUUGUAAACUUCUUUUAUACGGGAAUAACAAGAGCCACGUGUGGCUCCCUGCAUGUACCGUAUGAAUAAGCACCGGCUAACUCCGUG
rnacentral:rRNA from 1 species